rnacentral:lncRNA from 1 species
UUCAAGAUGAGUUUUCUCUCUCUAAAAUUUUCUCUCUCUAAAAUUUUCUCUCUCUAAAGUUAUUUCUCUCUCUCGAUCGAUUUCUCUCUCUUGAUCGAUUUAUCAAUGAGGAAAUUUUUUCAAUAGUCCUGAUCUGAUUCUAAUGAAGAAUCCUGAUCCAUGAUUGUCAAACAGCGUACUGGCACCCACCUUAAUCAGACCAUGAAUCUUUAGAUUUGAUUAUCCAUGAUUUCGAUCUAGCCAUGACUUGAUUUGAUCAUGUUGAUUUCACCAAUUGAGAUAUUGGACCAAUCAUAAUAUUAGAUUGUGUCACCUGAUCAAUUCGAAUUAUACUUUAUGAAUUCUCUCUCCUCUGAUUUUCUCUCUCCACUUGAUUUUAUGAAAUCGAUGAAGAAACCUCGAUCCUAUCAUUUCGAAUCCGAUUUGAUCUGAUAGUCAAACUUUGGAUCGUUUAGGUCCUAAUU